rnacentral:lncRNA from 1 species
GUGGCUGAGGUUGCUUCCAGUCAUGAUUUGAUAGUUCAGAGGCUUUCUAGGUGUAGUCAGGAAUCCUUUCUUCGAUCUGUUUGGAUUUUAGAGCUCUUAAAAGGGCUGAUGGACGAACAAAAUGGAGAACCCAUAGAGAGUGGCAGCAGAGGCCCUGUGGUGUGAAACAGAGAUCAUGGCAGUUGGCAGAGAGCUCUAAGAAGUUCUAGAGAGUCCUUCGGUUCUGGUGAAAGCUUUGUAUGGGUAGCUUCUAGUUGAGAGAGAUUGUAUAUAAGAGUUGAAAGAGUGAGAAUCUCC